ACGGAAGGCAGCAGUGAGGAAUAUUGGUCAAUGGACGCAAGUCUGAACCAGCCAUGCCGCGUGCAGGAAUAAGGCCCUAUGGGUCGUAAACUGCUUUUGUGGUGGAGCAGUAAGUCGUACGUGUACGGCGAUGAGAGUACAUCACGAAUAAGCAUCGGCUAACUCCGUGCCAGCAGCCGCGGUAAUACGGAGGAUGCAAGCGUUAUCCGGAUUUAUUGGGUUUAAAGGGUGCGUAGGCUGUGGUCCAAGUCAGGGGUGAAAGCCCGGAGCUCAACUCCGGAACUGCCUUUGAUACUGGAUUGCUGGAAUACGGAUGCCGUGGGAGGAAUGAGUAGUGUAGCGGUGAAAUGCAUAGAUAUUACUCAGAACACCGAUUGCGAAGGCAUCUCACGAAUCCGUCAUUGACGCUGAGGCACGAAAGCGUGGGGAUCAAACAGGAUUAGAUACCCUGGUA
rnacentral:rRNA from 1 species